UAACCUGCCCAAGAGAUCGGGAUAACACCUGGAAACAGAUGCUAAUACCGGAUAACAACAGAUGAUGCCUAUCAACUGUUUAAAAGAUGGUUCUGCUAUCACUCUUGGAUGGACCUGCGGUGCAUUAGCUAGUUUGUAGGGUAACGGCCUACCAAGGCGAUGAUGCAUAGCCGAGUUGAGAGACUGAUCGGCCACAUUGGGACUGAGACACGGCCCAAACUCCUACGGGAGGCAGCAGCU
rnacentral:rRNA from 1 species